UACGUAGGGUGCAAGCGUUGUCCGGAAUUAUUGGGCGUAAAGAGCUCGUAGGCGGUCUGUCGCGUCGGCUGUGAAAUCCCGAGGCUCAACCUCGGGUCUGCAGUCGAUACGGGCAAACUAGAGUAUUGCAGGGGAGACUGGAAUUCCUGGUGUAGCGGUGAAAUGCGCAGAUAUCAGGAGGAACACCGGUGGCGAAGGCGGGUCUCUGGGCAUUAACUGACGCUGAGGAGCGAAAGCAUGGGGAGCGAACAGG
rnacentral:rRNA from 1 species